rnacentral:rRNA from 1 species
GAUGAACGCUGGCGGCGUGCCUAAUACAUGCAAGUCGAGCGAACGGACGAGAAGCUUGCUUCUCUGAUGUUAGCGGCGGACGGGUGAGUAACACGUGGAUAACCUACCUAUAAGACUGGGAUAACUUCGGGAAACCGGAGCUAAUACCGGAUAAUAUUUUGAACCGCAUGGUUCAAAAGUGAAAGACGGUCUUGCUGUCACUUAUAGAUGGAUCCGCGCUGCAUUAGCUAGUUGGUAAGGUAACGGGUUAACAAGGCAACGAGGCAUAGCCGACCUGGGAGGGGGUUGGCCCACCAGGGAGUUGAAACGCGGCCCAGGCCCCUCAGGAGAGCAGCAGAAGGGAAUCUCCCGCAAGGGGGAAGAGCCUAACGGAGCACCCCAGGGGGGGAGAUGAAGGCUUGCGGUGCGGAAAAACGUUUUUUUAGGAAAAAAACGUUGUUAAAGAAACUGGCACCGUCUUGACGUUACCUAAUAAAAAAGCGGCGGCUAACUACGU